rnacentral:rRNA from 1 species
UACGGAGGGAGCUAGCGUUGUUCGGAAUUACUGGGCGUAAAGCGCACGUAGGCGGCUAUUCAAGUCGGGGGUGAAAGCCCGGGGCUCAACCCCGGAACAGCCCUCGAAACUAGAUAGCUAGAAUCUUGGAGAGGCGAGUGGAAUUCCGAGUGUAGAGGUGAAAUUCGAUAGAUAUUCGGAAGAACACCAGUGGCGAAGGCGACUCGCUGGACAAGUAUUGACGCUGAGGUGCGAAAGCGUGGGAGCAAACAGG